rnacentral:rRNA from 1 species
GACGAACGCUGGCGGCGUGCCUAAUACAUGCAAGUAGAACGCUGAAGGAGGAGCUUGCUUCUCCGGAUGAGUUGCGAACGGGUGAGUAACGCGUAGGUAACCUGCCUGGUAGCGGGGGAUAACUAUUGGAAACGAUAGCUAAUACCGCAUAACAGUAGAUAUUGCAUGAUAUCUGCUUGAAAGGUGCAAUUGCAUCACUACCAGAUGGACCUGCGUUGUAUUAGCUAGUUGGUGAGGUAACGGCUCACCAAGGCGACGAUACAUAGCCGACCUGAGAGGGUGAUCGGCCACACUGGGACUGAGACACGGCCCAGACUCCUACAGGAGGCAGCAGUAGGGAAUCUUCGGCAAUGGACGGAAGUCUGACCGAGCAACGCCGCGUGAGUGAAGAAGGUUUUCGGAUCGUAAAGCUCUGUUGUAAGAGAAGAACGAGUGUGAGAGUGGAAAGUUCACACUGUGACGGUAUCUUACCAGAAAGGGACGGCUAACUACGUG